rnacentral:rRNA from 1 species
AGUGAACGCUGGCGGUAGGCCUAACACAUGCAAGUCGAACGGCAGCACAGUAAGAGCCUGCUCUUACGGGUGGCGAGUGGCGGACGGGUGAGGAAUACAUCGGAAUCUACUUUUUCGUGGGGGAUAACGUAGGGAAACUUACGCUAAUACCGCAUACGACCUACGGGUGAAAGCAGGGGAUCUUCGGACCUUGCGCGAUUGAAUGAGCCGAUGUCGGAUUAGCUAGUUGGCGGGGUAAAGGCCCACCAAGGCGACGAUCCGUAGCUGGUCUGAGAGGAUGAUCAGCCACACUGGAACUGAGACACGGUCCAGACUCCUACGGGAGGCAGCAGUGGGGAAUAUUGGACAAUGGGCGCAAGCCUGAUCCAGCCAUACCGCGUGGGUGAAGAAGGCCUUCGGGUUGUAAAGCCCUUUUGUUGGGAAAGAAAAGCAGCAGGGUAAUACCCCGCUGUUCUGACGGUACCCAAAGAAUAAGCACCGGCUAACUUCGUG